UACGUAGGGGGCAAGCGUUGUCCGGAAUCAUUGGGCGUAAAGAGCGUGUAGGCGGCCUGGUAAGUCCGCUGUGAAAGUCCAGGGCUCAACCCUGGAAUGCCGGUGGAAACUGUCAGGCUCGAGUCCGGAAGAGGCGAGUGGAAUUCCUGGUGUAGCGGUGAAAAUGCGCAGAUAUCAGGAGGAACACCAAUGGCGAAGGCAGCUCGCUGGGACGGUACUGACGCUGAGACGCGAAAGCGUGGGGGAGCAAACAGG
rnacentral:rRNA from 1 species